rnacentral:lncRNA from 1 species
GUAAUAACCCCAAAAUAUUUUUUUUAUAUAAAAAGGGAUAGAAUAGUCCUUUUCAAUUAAUAUAAGGGGUAAAAUAGGAAAGAAUCAAAAGAUAAUGGCAUAGUUGUAGAUACAUUGAAGUGGUAAGGGUAAAAUUGGAAGGAAUCAAAAGUUAAUGGCAUAACGGUAGAUAUGUUGAAGUGUUAGGGGCAAAAUGGAAAUUUAAUAAUAUUAAACAAAGGGUAAAUAGUGUUUUGAUGUGAUUUAAUUAGGGGGUUUGCUGUGGCUUUUGGAUGGAAACCGAGAGAGAGUCACAGAGGGAGUCUCAGACGGACAGAGAGGAAGAAAAAAGAAGGAGAGAAAAGGAAAGGAAGAAAGGAAGAGGAAAGGAAAGGAAGAAAGGAAGAGGAAGGAGAUCCCGGUUGCACUUCUAGCUGAAGGGAAAAACGUAGAUCUCCUUUUCCCUCUACGCAAGGACCUUGAUUUCUAAAAAGAAAAAGGUAAAUAUCCAUCCCUAUCUAGUCUUUUGGUGACAUUAGGCUAUACAAAGGGUGGAUAUAGUCUAGAAGGGUCGGAUAAGGAUUGUAGAGGUGGUUAAAAGAGGAAGAAUCGGAUUUUGACAAAUUUUUCCGGCACUACGAAAAAACUGUGUCGAAGUCCUAACUUCGGCGAAUUAUUUAGGGGGUCAAACGACCUCCGAUAGCAAGGCAUGUUACCUCUUUAGAAUCUCCUAUGAGUGUAGCAUGUUAGGUAAAAAUUUCAUCAAAUCUGGAGUUUGGAAAGUGGAUCAAACCCGGGAUGAAGUAACCGGCUGUCGGUCCGGGUUACUGUUCAUCCGGGUGGGAAAAUAAGAAAUUAUGCCAAAAUAGGGUAUUAAGCCUAGAUUAGGCUAAGGGAGACCUUGUACUCAUGCAAGGGAGUCCCUAAUACACAUAAAUGGUGAGUUAAUUAAUAGAAAAAGAAAAAAGGAAAGAAAAGAAAAGAUUUAGGGAACGGGGGAGUUGAAUCAAUUAAAGUCCCCUAUAUUGUAAUUGGCACGUAGAUUAUAGCCCUUGAUACAAAACUAAAUAUAUUGUAAAUGCAUGUAUCAGUUGGGCAAGAAGCUAGGGAACAAGAGGAAGAAGUUCUCCACUGCCAGCUGUAGAUUUUUGGAGGCGUAUCAGGG